rnacentral:ribozyme from 1 species
UUUUUUUUUUUUUUUUUUUUUACAUCUUUCUUCAAGAGUAGACAUUAGCACUUCUUAAUACAAGUGUUUGUUUCAUACAUAAAGUCCAGACCAAAGGAAAACAAACAGUACACCUAAGCCAAGCAUUACUGAAGAAGGAAAUGCAAAUGUCAAUUCUUUGGCUAAACUUUUUUUGCCAGUCUCUUUUGUCUUCAUCUGAUAUAUGAAAAACAUGGACAUAAAGA